UUUGGAAUGGAUAAAUUUCUUUCAUUAAAAUUCUUAGAUUUAUAAUACUAACAUUUUUAACUAUUUAUAUUCAAAACAUAAUAACGUUUAUACACAUCCUAUGUACAUGCCACAUUCUAAAAGAAAAUAUACAUCAACAAAAUUUGUUGAACUCGGGUCUGGUUUUGGAUGCUGGCUCAAUACUUGACUUCUACAACCUGCGCACGGAAACAACCGUACGCUGAGUAUUUUUAUGCUAAGUGGUAUUACUAUAAAUUAAACUAUUUAAUAAUAAUAAAAUUUCAAAUAUUGACCAUAAUCUUUAUAAAUCACUUAAAAACCAAAUAUACAUAUUCAUAUAUCAUUCCAUAACUUUUAAAUAUAUAUAUAUUUUCAUUCUAAUUCAAUUCAUAAUUUAACUCAUACAUUCUUUCUCGUAUUUUUCUAUAGUGACAAAUCAACAAUUUCAUUUUCAAAUUUUCAUUUCAAUUAUUUACCCUAUUAACAAAGCUCGGACUCUGACAGAUACGCGGAUUCCACCCAAACACACCAAAUUAUCCAACCUAAACACACCCGGAAUUAUUUAAAUCCUCCAUAACACACCAAUGUAUCAUAUCCUCCCUAACACACCAAUAAGGCAUUAAAUGCCUCUUCGGAUAAACCGAAGCAUAUAAUAAUAUAAUUAUCUUCUCGGCCGAACUACAAAUCUCAUCAUCACAUCACAAAUCCAAUGGCAUGCCAUUUGUAUCCAAUCUAGUCCAAUAAGUUAAUAGGGUAUUAUUUUACUUUCCGAAUUUCAAAUCCAUUUCCACAACAAUCUCAAAUACUCAAACAAUUCAAAACAUCCAUUAUUUCAAUUCACAUAUAUUUCAAUAUUUACACAUAUUCUUACUUAAUUUCAAAUGUUAUCACUUACCUUACUUUAAAUGCCUCAUGAAUACAAUUUCAAUAUAGCAUUUAUUAAAUAGAUUAAGUUAUAGUAAUACAAACUCGGAAUACGCGUUUACUCCUCAACGAUCUUUUCUUUUCCUUUGGAUGCCUAUGCCUCGUUUUUCUUGUUAGCUACGAAAAUAAUAAUUAUUUUCACUAUUAAUUACAAUCAUUAAUAAUAAUAAUAAUUAAAUUUUAUUCAAUUCCUACUUAUUCCAAUUUAAUUUUAACUAAGCUUACUUAUUUUUUUUAAACUUAAUUCACACUCUAUUUCUACUCAAAUUUCUUCUAAACUCAAAUUUAUCUACUAAUUUUUUAGCAUUUUUUUCACUAAUUUCGAAUUUUCCUCAAUUUAAUCCUUAAAAUUCAAAACUUAUAGUUUAGUUCACAAUUUAAUCCUUUUAUCAACUCUAACUAGAAACUCUAUCAAAUAAACCCUCAAUUCCCUCAUUUAUUCAACAUAAACCCUAAUUUAAGGCUUUUUAUAACUUAAUCCCAACUAUGUAAAACUUACAACUUAGUUUACAAAUCAAUCUUUUUAUCUAUUCUAACUAGAAAUUCUAUCAACUAAACCCCUAAUUUAACAACUUGUUCAAAAUGAAUCAUAUUCAAAAACCUAUGAACUUCCAUAACCUCCACUUAAUUUCAACAAAACUUUGUUUUAAAGCUUCUAAAACAUCAAAAUGAGGAGAAAAGGGCUAAAUUUAGCUUACCAAUUAACUUGAAGCUUUAAAAUCUCAAUUUCCCCUUUUCUUUUUCUUUCCCUUUUUCUUCCCCUGUUUUUCGUCUCUUUCUCUGUUUCUAUUCUGUUCUUCUUUUGUUUCUUUAUCUUUUUAUUUUACUUACUUU
rnacentral:lncRNA from 1 species